rnacentral:rRNA from 1 species
GAACGCGAAGAACCUUACCAGCCCUUGACAUGCCCUGACGGCACCAGAGAUGGUGUCAUUCCUUCGGGACAGGUGCACAGGUGCUGCAUGGCUGUCGUCAGCUCGUGUCGUGAGAUGUUGGGUUAAGUCCCGCAACGAGCGCAACCCUCGCCCUUAGUUGCCAGCAUUCAGUUGGGCACUCUAGGGGGACUGCCGGUGAUAAGCCGAGAGGAAGGUGGGGAUGACGUCAAGUCCUCAUGGCCCUUACGGGCUGGGCUACACACGUGCUACAAUGGCGGUGACAGUGGGCAGCCAACCAGCGAUGGUGAGCUAAUCCCCAAAAGCCGUCUCAGUUCGGAUUGCACUCUGCAACUCGAGUGCAUGAAGUUGGAAUCGCUAGUAAUCGUGGAUCAACAUGCCACGGUGAAUACGUUCCCGGGUCUUGUACACACCGA